GGGACGUUAGCUCAGUUGGUUAGAGCAGAGGACUCAUAAUCCUUUGGUCCACGGUUCAAGUCCGUGACGUCCCA
rnacentral:tRNA from 1 species